rnacentral:rRNA from 1 species
CCCUUAGAUGUCCUGGGCCGCACGCGCGCUACACUGAGUGUCUGAGAUACGAGUCUGCCUGGUCCGGCAAGGUCUAGGUAAUCGCUAAAAGACACAUCAUGCUUGGGAUAGAUUAUUGCAAAUAUUAAUCUUGAACGAGGAAUACCUAGUAAGCGCAAGUCAACAGCUUGCGUUGAUUACGUCCCUGCCCUUUGUACACACCGCCCGUCGCUACUACUGAUUGGAUGUUUAAGCGAGGUUCUCGAACUGCUAGCGACUUAGCUUCGGUGAGGUCGCAGUGUGGGAAGUGAACCUAGCUUUGGUGUCUAGAGGAAGUAAAAGUCGUAACA